AGCUUUGUGCAGUGGCAAUAUCGUAGCCAAUGAGGUUUAUCCGAGGCGUGAUUAUUGCUAAUUGAAAAAAAAAAAGAUGAAAGUGUUUUCCUCCUCUAUGCGUUAUCUGCAUAGCUUAGAGAAAGGUUCCCGGAUUCAUCUAUAAGC
rnacentral:snRNA from 1 species